CUUUUAAAUUUUAUUUCUGUAUUAUAAAGGUUUCAGUAGUCAUAACAUGCAAGGUUAUGUAUUGGUUAGUUGCCCAUUGAUCCCCAGGACAUUCUAGACGAUAGUACAGUAGGCUUGUACCUGGGAUAUAUACCUUUUUAGGCAUCAGAUAUAAUCUUUGGGCAAAAUUGAUGCCGUUACAUGGUAUUUGGUCUGUGGUAAUGCAUGUAGUUGCGGUUUGGCGAUUUAAGCUAAACAUAAUUAGUAACGAUAUUUUUAUAUCUGAGUAAGAAAAAAUAUUACUGUAAUCUCCACAUUUGAUUUUAAGAUGAAAAAUAUUUUUGUUGGAUUUCUAAGAUUAAUGCUAAAUGUGAAGACUACUUGAUAUAAAAUGUGUUUAAGAUGUCAUGCAUGUUAUACUGAAAUAUUCUGGAGAUGUCUGAAGCAGUUCUUUAAGCAGCACUGUGUAUUAUGCAAAAAUGCUUGUCUUUUAUUACCUACCAUAUUUGUAACUAGACCUUUAAUAAAAAUUGUGUGUGUGUAGAUAUAUAUAUAUAAAAUACCAUUCAAAGGUGGGCUAAUGUGGCUUUCCACUACAGCUCUUACCAGAUUUUUUAUUUUCAGUGUGAUUUGGCUGGAAUAUUAAUUACAGUUGGUUGACAUGUAUUCACAAUUGCAUGACUUCUCUUUGGAGGCUGGUAGGUUGAGUAUUGUUCUUUUUAUCCACCCUUUCCCCUUCCCUAAAUGUCAGUCCUUCUGCCUUUAGGAUUAUAUUUGAAUUUUCAGGGGUUUAAACACCACUACUGGAGAUUAGAGGGCCACUAACUUGCAGACAGUUGUCUUAUAUCUUUACAAGCUACAUUCUAAGAGUCCACUUAGGGUAAUAUUUAAAGAUUUGCUUAUUACUGUAUUCUUAUCCACUGAAAUCAGUCCAGCUUUACGUUGGAGAAAAAGCAGACUGGAAACAGUAGGCAAGGGGAAAAGCAGAAAAGAAAACACUGGGGUCACAGUUUAGAUGAAUGUUAUUCUCAUAUUUGGUGAAUGUUGAGCACUUAACAGCUCAAUUUCACUGCUAGCUAAUAAUGGCAAAUUAAGAUUACUCCAUUAAAUAUUUCGAAUCUCAUGUAUGUAAUUGUUUCCAGUAAUCUGAAAUGACGAUAAACUUAGAUUUGAAGAUCAGUGUUUUCACUCUUUAAAAAUAAUUACACUUGCCCUGCUACCUAAAACGAGGUAAUACAAUCCAACUUUUUUGAAUGAUUAGGAAAAAUGGACAAAUAUUUAUAUUAAUAGUUAACAAAUGUUUUAGAUAGUCACCAGUUGUCAUUUACUGAAAAUAAAAUUUUACCCAGGUUGACUUUAAAAUUACGCAUUAAAAUAAUGUCUCAUUUUUAAGGGGUCUAACAUUUGACUUUUCUUAACUGUUUAAUCAUGCAGCCCCAUUCUGUUAUAGACAUGAAGGCUUUCUUUUUGAAUGAAAAACCUCCAGACCUAAAUUUUCGUGUGUGUGUGUGUCUCUACACUUGCCACUCUAUCUGUCCCUUUCUUUGUCCCAUUUUGAGGGAUAGUAUAUGGCGACAGUUAUAUAGUGUCAAUAGUGGGUAUUAGACUGGUUAAUAGAUACAGUAUCUAAAUUGAAUUUCUUAAACGCAGUUUUGUGUGCAUUUCCUUCUACAAAUCUGAGAAUAAAGUGAUUACGAUUUCAUCCUAAAAUACUUAAAAAAUCAGUUGGUUUUAGAAUCAGUUUUUUUCCUUUUGCAUGUAAGAAUGGACAGCUAUUUUUAGGGAGGCAUACCUGUUAUACCUCUAGUGGCUGUUUCUAUAGUUUACUAUGGGACUUAUUAGAAUAAGUAAUUAUUUCCAUAGUAUGACUUCAUGAGUUACUCUUUCCAACAUUAACAUCCGUAGUUUUUACUUAAAAGCAUUGGAAUUUCUCAUUUUACUUUGUGGUGUGGACACAUUCCGUACUCUGCAGUGCUGCAGUUCAUUUGGGGUAGGUACUUUAAAAUUACUUAGUGUCUGGCAAAAUAUACAUGCCAUGUAGCAAGUUAUCUAGGGGCAGAGUUUUUAAAAUCUAAAAAUUAGUGGAACCUACAGUGUUGUGUUAACCUUGAGGUAGUUUUAUAAGGUAGGUACGGUGACUUUCCUGCAUUGGAUUGGGUAGGAAGCAAAAUAGUCCCCCAUUCACUUAGCCAAAGUCUAGCAAUAUUUUAAUAGCAGGACAGUACAUCUGGUCCUUUUAAUGGUUGAUGUAUAAUGAGCUCAAGUGUGAUUCUUCCUAUUUGGGAAUUUGUGAAUCCUGCUGUAGUUUGUCCCGUUUAAUGAUAAAAGACUAGGCUCGUAUUUUUGCUUUAAAUGUUUGAGAUUAUGGUCUCAUACCUUAGUGUUUCUGGGGCAAUCUGAACAUUGUUUGUAAAAUAAUUACUUUUAGAGUAGUCUCAUGCCAAAUUUACUGGCCUUGAUUCAGUACAGUUGGGUUUACCGUAUGUAGUAAAGUUGAGACCCUGAGUAGAUUGGUCUCACUCAGCAUUAGCAUUGUUGGAAGCCUUUGACAAAUUUCCUGAGUUAAAAAUUCCAGAAAUUGAUGCUUCCAGAUCUUGAGAUGAACAUUUAAGGGAGGAGUAUUAAAUACUUUUCAUUGUAAAUUUUUAUCUAUUAUGAAAGAUACUAAAAAUCCGAUAACUUUUAAGUUUGGAAUUGGAGAAUGUCAUUGAAAUUUUUCAGUGCUUGUUUUUGAGAUACACAUACUUUGCUUUAAAUCUGGGGUUUUUCCAUGUGACCCUUUCCAGAAACUCAGUGUAUCUUUUUAAUAUUCCUAGGUACUCUGCCAUCUGUCCUAAAACAUAAUAUUAGGGUAAGGCUGCUCUAGUACAAGAACAUUUGAGGCUACUAUUGGGGGUGUGAUUUAUGGCCAACAUGAAGGAUGUGAUUAGUUUUAGCCUUCAAGUGAUAAUAUGUACCAUGCUUGAAAGCAUUUAAAAAGGAAUAGAGUAAUAACUUUUUUCCCAUUCCACUUGAAGCUGUACACUUCAAGUGUGUGCACAUUUACAAAUGGAGUGAAAUGUAACUUAUGUUAGUCCAAGCUUGAUUUGACUUCAGUUCUGCUUCAACAUUUUAGUAGAUAGGGUCACUGAACUGGAUGCUGAAAGCCUGGGAUCUCUUUCUGUUGCUUCAUUUUCAACAGUGUGGUUUCAGGUAAUACAACAUGUUUGUUAUUUGGUUUGCUGAUCUGUGUGUUGGAAACAGUGUUCACCACAGGAAGAUUGACUACAUAGCCUGCUUUCAUAGCUUGUGUGUAUUUAUCCAGUGCCCUAAUAGUUGAUACUGCCAGUGAUUUACUCCUGUGGAGUAAAGGUAAGCAUGUUUUAGUUUCUGGAGUAUUUUAUUGUACAUUGGAGCUAGGUAUUUAAGACUAUUUGGGGGUGGGGAGGGAAGACUCCUAUUUACUGGUGGUGCUUGGCCAAUAAUCAAGGUGUUUAAGUAUUGGGUCGUGCACUGUAAACUCCUGCUUAUCUAGACUUCAGACUACUACAGAGCCCACGCAGCCAGGAAGUCUGUCUCCCCAUUUAGUCUUAGGAGAAAGAAGGAUGAAGCCGUGUGAAAAUAUACUUAAAAAGCAACCAACAGACAAUGUCAUGGAAUGAAUCUCCUACAGAUUUUUCCUUAAACUUUUGAAAAGUAACGUGAUUUUAAAACAUUGGAAAAUUAAAAAUUCUUCAAGGGAAAAAUUAUUUUCUGACUUGAGCACUGAUACCUAAAUUGAUUUCCAAUAGACGAUUUUAUAGAAUUGUGAAUAUGUAGUAAUCUCAGUUAACCAGAACCUUAACCUUUAGGUUAAGGAAAAUACUUAUUCCUUAACCUCUAGGUAAAUGGGAGUUUACCUUACAAAGCUGAUUGAGAGCUUACUUAAAACGUAACCAUACAAGAUGUCAUUGGUUCCUUGUAAUGAAAUGAAAAAGGAGAUGUUGGAUUAAGCAUUUAAAGGUAAUUAAAAACAUGGCAGCUUGUGCCUGUAAUCACUAUCAGAAGUCGGAGGUGUGAGGAUCAUUUCAGGCCAGGCUUUCUAGACCCACUAGGCAACAUAAUAAGACCCCUGUCUCAAAAAAAAAAAUUAGCUGAGCGUGUUGGGGGUGGGGGUGUGUGUGCCUAUAGUUUUAGCUACUCAGGAAGUGGGGGCGGGAGAAUCUGUUGAACCCAGGAAGGAGCUCAGGGAUGCAGGAAGCUAUGAUGGAGCCACUGCGCUCUGAUAGUGAGACCUGGUCUGUUAAA